rnacentral:rRNA from 1 species
AUGGUAUAAUAAAAUCGGAGGCCACGACUGUUUACUAAAAACACAAUUCAGAGCAAUUAUUAAGAUAAUAGUAUUCUGAAUGAAAUUUGCUCAAUGCCAUUAAUAUNAGAGAGGUAAUUUUAAAGUUACUAAUCGAAAAUCUGGUUAAUAGCGGUCUUAACUAUGAGGAUCCUAAGGUAGCAAAAUAAAUUGGCCAUUAAAUGUGGUCUAGUAUCAAUAAUGUAACGAUGGUCUCACUGUCUCUACAACUUGCUCAGUGAAAUUGAAUUGCGAGUGCAGAUGCUCGCUGUCUUC